UACUCUGGAUUUAAUCAUCUCCAAGGGUCUGAACAUCUCAAAGGUUGUGGUAACUGAUAUUGCUCUCUCUGAUCAUUCCUGUGUUUUCUUUGAGAGCGCCAUCUCCGUGCAUACUAAAGUUCAAAAAGAGGUAAUCAAACAACGACAAAUCACUGAGAACACCAGUGAAAUAUUUGUUCAGGCUUUCUCUUCCACACCCGCCCUCUCAUGGGUCUCAGUAAAUGAGCUUGUAGAUAAUUUCAAUUCUAAAAUUACAAAUGUUAUCGACACCAUUGCACCCAUUAAGGUUAAGGUGGUCUCUGGUAAGAAAAGAUCUCCAUGGAGAAAUGCCACUCUGGUAUGAACCGGAAAGAGAGAGUGUCGGAAAGCUGAACACGGGACAAAAAACAAAUCUCCAGAUUCACUAUAACCUCUAUAAAGAGAGACUUCGCAUUUAUAAUUUAGGAAAUGCAAGGUGGUCCUUCUUCUCUAACAUCAUCUCCAAAAACAAUAAUAACACACGCACUUUCUUUGCUACUAUUGACAGGCUAACCAACCCUCCUGUGUCAGUAGCCUCUGACUUUUUAUCCACCAGGGCCUGCAAUGACUUUGCCUCUUUUUUUACUGACAAAAUUAAAAAAAUUAGUCAAGCAAUCAGUGUUUCCAUGUCAGGUACAGGAUAUGUACUGCCUCUAUGUCCAUCUACAAACAACUCAAUUAGCAUGACACAAUUUCAUCCUAUCACUCAUGAAAACGUGGGGGCAUUAUACAACACCUGAAAUCCUCCUCCUGCUACCUUGAUAUUCUGCCAACAGGCUUUUUCAAAAAAAAAAAAAAAAAAAAAUCUAAUUGCAUGGCCUCAGAAUUAUUAGAAAUUGUCAACAAAUCUCUUCUCUCAGGUUUCUUCCCACAGGCCCUGAAAACUGCUGUCAUCAAGCCACUCUUAAAAAAGAAUAAUCUAGACACAUCACUAAUGAGUAAUUAUAGACCCAUAUCAAACCUCCCGUUCUUAAGUAAAAAUAUUGAAAAAGCUAUUUUUCAACAGCUGAACAAUUACUUAGAACUAAACGACUGUUUUGAUGUCUUCCAGUCAGGGUUCUCACCAAAUCACAGCACUGAGACUGCUCUUGUUAAAGUCUUCAAUGACAUCCAUUUAAAAAUAGACAAUGGCAGAAUUUUAAUCUUAGUAUUAUUGGAUUUCAGUGCUGCAUUCGACAUGGUUGACCACAAUAUAUUACUAGACAGACUAAAAAAUUGGGUGGGACUUUCUGGCACUGUACUAAACUGUUUUGUAUCCUACUUAAGGGACAGGGACUACUUCAUGUCUAUAGGCAAUUACAAAUCUAACAUUACAAAAAUGACCUGCGGAGUUCCCCAUGGCUCCAUUUUGGGGCCUCUCUUGUUUAACAUCUACAUGCUUCCACUGGCUCAGAUUAUGAAAUACAACAAAAUUUGUUACCACAGUUAUGCAGAUGACACAGAUUUACAUAACCAUUUUGCCAGGGAAAUAUGAUCCCCUACAGGCUCUGAGGAACUGCAUUGAACAAAUUAAUGAUUGGAUGUGCCAAAAUUUUCUCCAAUUAAACAAAGAGAAAACUGAAGUUAUUGUUUUUGGAGCUGAGAAGAAGCGAUUAGAGGUCAGCACUCAGCUUCAGUCUGUAAUGUUAAAGACCACUGACCAAGUCAGAAAUCUUCGUGUAGUCAUGUAGACUUAACCUUCAACAGCCAUAUUAAGACAGUUACAAAGUCAGCCUACUACCACCUAAAAAAUAUUCGAAGGGUUAGAGGACUAAUGUCUCAGAAAGACUUAGAAAAACUUGUCCAUGCAUUUGUCUUCAGUCGACUCGACUACUGUAACGGUGUCUUGACGGAUCUAAAUAAGAAAUCAAUUAGACAGUUGCAGUUGAUUCAGAAUGCUGCUGCUCGGGUCCUCACUAAGACUAAAAAGGUAGAUCAUAUAACUCCAGUCCUGAGGUCGUUGCACUGGCUUCCUGUCUGUAAAAGAAUUGAUUUUAAAAUACUGCUGUUGGUUUAUAAAGCACUGAAUGGUUUGGGUCCAAUAUAUAUUUCUGAUCUACUGGUACAUUAUGAACCAUCCAGACCUCUGAGGUCGUCUGGAACAGGUCUGCUUUCUGUUCCCAGAGUCAAAACUAAACGUGGAGAAGCAGCAUUUAGUUUUUAUGCUCCAUAUCUUGAACAAACUCCCAGAAAACUGCAGAUCUGCCAAAACUCUCAGUUCUUUUAAAUCAAGACUGAAGACUUUUCUUUUUGCUGCUGCUUUUAAUUAAAUCAUCAAGGUAUUUUAAUUAAUAUCUUAUAUUGCACUGUAACCUUUUUAAUCUGUUUUAACCUGUUUUUAUUUUUUUGUUGUUUUUAUUUUUUAUUACUUUUUUUUUAUUAUUAUUAUUUUUUAUGAACUCUUUUUAAAGUCUUUUCCUUUUAAAUGUUGCUUUGUGUUGCUUUUAUGUUUUAUGUAAAGCACUUUGAAUUACCCUGUUGUUGAAAAUGUGCUAUACAAAUAAAUUUGCCUUGCCUUGCCUUACGAGUGAGCACUGCUCUCUUAUUGUAAGGGUUUAAGAGAUAUACGAGCUUAGCUAACUAACUCUUUCUCAACUUUAAAUUAAGUAAUUUAUUUAAGAUUCUUCAGUUUGCUAAGUGCGCAUAUCUCCUUCGGACAUUCGUUGUCAUCAAGCUGCCAUUAUGGAUCAGGUAGACGUCGUCGCAGAAGAAAUAAAGUUUUUCCAGAAAGCUGGAGUAACAGAAGCUAUGCAUGUGUAUGAGCUCUUUAACACUGUGUCUGGACUGAAAAUCACGAGUGACAACGAGGCAGAUUUCUUAGCCCAGAUUCAGGAACUGGAGAAGAUGAAUGAGGACCAUGUCCAAAAGCGAAGCAAGAAGGCCUGUACCAAUACUUGUGAGAAUGGCCCACCUCUGUUAAAUGAGGAUGAUUAACAAUAAGAUAACAUCCAGAAAAAAGGCAGGUUCACAAGUUGAGAGGGGUAAAAUGUGAGGAUGUUUAAGUGCAUUACACAGCAUUUUCUGCUGACUAGGCAUCUGAAACACCCAUCUUUACACACCUUCUUUUGAUGGAUUGCUUCAAAUAGCAAGUAAAUGGUGUACUAAUAGAUCAACUAUAUUAGUACACAGCAGCAUCAAAUCUUCCGUUUGAGCACAACCUGUUAUUGAUCAGUGUUGCAAUAUGGGCUAAUAAUGGGACAGAAUGAGAUAUGUGCAACUAGAUUAGUAAAUAUGACCCGGUGUCAUUUCUCUCUACAUAAAAUACCAGUUAGCAUGAAUCGAAUGCUUAUUUAAAGCAUUUGGUUGGUGCUGAACAUGCUUGAUGCUUUCUGAUUUUUGUGGCUUUAUCUUAAUGUUGCUAUAUGCUGGCUUCAUGUAAUAUUUUACAGCUCAUGGAGAAAUGAAUAAACUUUGAAAUUGGUAAAUGGAAUGUGAUUAAUCAAAUUGUUACGGCCCAGUCUAGGUUAGGCUGCACAGAGUAACCAGCUCGGGAAUCAAAUAGAUUGACCUUUAAAUAAGGGAAGCCAAGAAUAACAACACAAACAAGGUUGUGGUAUAUUGUAACAGACAAUUAUAUACAUAUAACUGUACAAAUUAACCAAAGUAGGUGUAACUUCAGGGUGGGCCAAGGCCAAAAUAAUAAACAAAGGAAUUCUAUUAGUAGGUAGAUAGCUUACCUAAAAGGAAAAGAACGAAAAAUACAAGGAUACUUCCCUAACUACCUAAGCAAAAAAAAAAACAGAGACAAAAGGACCCUCUCCCAAAAGAAAUGGCAGGCACACCCCUACUGCCGGUGAACCUAGUGAACAUAUACACAAUAGUGAAGAGAAUACACAUUAACAGGUACAGGGACAACCAAACUCAAAGUCCAAAAACCAGGCAAAAGUCAAAAACCAGAACAGCCGUUAGAAAAUAGCAUACAAGCAGCACAACCAAACACAAUCUCUAAACACCAACACAUGUAACCACCUCCAACAUCCCACACCAUUCUCACUCGCCUUCUUUAAAUAUG